ACAUCUGUGUGCAAAGCCAAGUGUGUGAGGACCAGAUUUGGCGCUAGCAGCCACCAGGCCCUGCUCCUGAACGGUUGCUAUGGAAACACACUGGGGGUUGCCUAGGGCCCCAAGGUCUGUGCUGCACUCUCCAUUGUGCUGUCACACCAGGAGGUUUGAGCAUCACGGAGAUUGGACCUGGCUGGGCGACUCCUAGGACAGGAUUAUACAGGCCAGAGGCACAUGAGGAGCCUCUUUCCUGGGCUGGCAUUUGUUGAUUGUGGCUGGAUUUAUUGUCUAGGCCAUAAAACAGAUACUUCCCCAAGGCCGUGUAGUGGUUUAGUGCAAGGUAAAACCUAAGGCUUUGUCUACACUGGCACUUUCGUCACUAACGCUUUUGUUGCUCAGGGAUGUGAAAAAACACCCCCCUGAACAACAUAAGUUUUAGCAAUGAAAAGCGCAGUGUGGACAGCGCUUCGUCAGCAGGAGCCUUUGGAAGUGGUUUAAUUUUGCCACCGGGAGAGAGCGGCCACCUUACAACGGCACAGCUGCAGUGGCACAGCGACGCUGCUGUAAGGUGCGCCGUGAAGACAUGGCCUAAGGAACUUAAACGGCCACUGUGGAGCAAAGCCGGUGACCAGAGCAAUUAACUAGCUGCUAGUGUAAGGGAGCUGGCACCUGGCAGGCAAGCACCAGUGUGAACAGCUGGGCACACACAUGCACUUAGAUGCACAUCAGCGCACCUCCACACACUCACACACAUGCACUAUGGACACACGUGUACCGCACAUACAUUCACACACACAUAUGUAAGCAAUAUGCCCCAUGGCACACAUACACUGUGCCCUCUCCAGUUUGACUGUGUGCACUGGCACAGUUCUGCUUUCAUAGAAUCAUGGGGCCAGGAGGGACCACAAGGGUCAUGUAGUCUAACCACCGACAGUUUUAGCUUAUCCCAGGCUCCUGGAUCUAUUCCUGUCCGCAUUGGGGUGAGUCACUGAGGACCUGAUCCUGUGCUCCUUGCACACACAAGAGUCCCACUGAGGGGCCUUUGCCUUGCCGUGCCUCAGUUUCCCCAUCAACAAAGGGCGCACUGACACCAUCUGGAAAGCAGAAAGACAUUCAGAUCCAUGUGUGGCACAUCUGCUUUCCGCCCUGCUAGAGGCUGCUUGUCAGACAACUUCUUGGUGGGGGGUGGCUGGAUACUGCACCUGCUGAAAGGCCAAGGCAGAGUGGUUUUAGUUCCUCCAAAGAAGGUGUGACACUGACACGUUGCUCCAGGCAGUGAUUCAACCCCUGGGUUAAUCAUUGACUCCUCCCUUCUCUCUUCUCUCUCGCACGCCUGAGCUCACUUUUAUUCCUGCCAGGACAGAACCUCUGCUCGCUUCCCACGGGUAUACUUCUGUCUGACCAGACGGCAGAUGCAGCAUUCAAGGACUUCAGAACCUUUGAUGUAAUUGCUUAAAAAGUAACAUCAAAGCACAUGGGCAGCUCUGCCUGAAAGCAGGAACGUCUGGGCCGUGCUGCGUCGCUCUGUGGGCAAAGGCCAGUCACGCUGGGACCGAGCCCCAGUCUGAGCCCCCGAUUCUCUUGGUGAAAUCGCUCCCCAGGCUGGAGGACGUCUGGAGGGGGAGACCCCACCCCAGGGAGCCUACCCCAGGCAAGUGGAGCCCCUGGGAACUCGGAGAGCCAGAGCCAGCCCCUUUUGGAAGGCUGCAGGGGAAGCAUGACUGAGGUGGAGCCUGUGCUGGACUUUGCAUCCUCUGGGAGGACUGGCCGCAGGAACGCCCUCCCUGACAUCCUGGGCUCGCCGGCCGGCGUCAGCCCCUCCGACCUGCCUCUGAAAUUAGCUGAAAUGUCUCUAAGCUCAGACAGAUCCCAAGAAAUGCAGUCCCCCUCCACAGAGGUGCCCCCGCAGCAGCCCCAAAGCCCAGAGCUGAAGGAUACGUCUUAACACCUCCCCUGGGAUGCACUUCUGACCAGCAGGGAAAGGAGAGACUGUUGAGCAUCAACCCCGCUUGACUGGUGGGGCCUGGAGUUUGCUGGGUUUUCCUUGGUGCUAUGCAGCAAGAACAUCUUGUGUUCCUUGGAGCGGGGGCGUAGAGGAACCUCCAAGGGGGAAUAAGCAACCACGCGUUUGGCAAAGCUGGGGAAAACCCCUGCGGGGAAACGUUUCUUUGGUGGCAUUUAAGGACACGACUUAGGAACCAAGGGUGUUUGUUUGGGGGUAUUUCCUCAUCUUCACACCCGAACAGCCGCCCGCGAUGUCUCCGUGCUAGGAUCGUGACGAGCAACCAAGGGUUGUUCUUAGCUGAGUACGUUUGUUCACUGUGAUGUUCUGGGGCACAAUUUCCUUGUCUUUUCUUUUGUGAUAGGUGAUCCAGUAUCCUUAUUCAGGCCUUCUGACAAGUCUGGGGCAAAUGGCGCAGUGGGGGCCGUAGCAUAUUCUCCUCUCUGGCACCCAAAGGUGAAGCCCUUGUCUGGCAAACAGAAGCGAAUCCCUUCCCAGGCUGGGUCCUGCUUAUGCCGGGACCCAGUGUGACCCCUGCGACUUGCGGGAUAAAGGUACCUGGAGCCCUGGCUCCCUUUAGGAGCUCGCCAACCAAAGGGGAGGACGUUUGGCAGUUUCACCAAAGUCUCAAAGCAGCCAGCAGCCCAAACCGGGGCGUAAGUGACGCCAAUCCACGGAGCUUAGCCCCCCGGGCUUGCCUGGACCACCCCCCCCCAGCAGCACCCCUGCCCCAGUUGUGGGCAUACUGUGCACAGCUACCUCCCCCACCACUGGCCUUCAGGAGCCCCCAGCCAUGGCUGCCGCCUGAGCUAAUCAGGAGCAUCCAGCCCUCGGGACGAAGAACUGAGAAGGGGCGUCAGUGGGUUUCACAGCAAACCCCAGAGGGGGCCGCCCUACACCACAGCAGAGAACCUCAGGCCUAGGAUUUUGCUGCCUAACCACAGGCGUUGUCUAACUGGCAGCACACUGCCCUCUGCAGGGAGAUUGGUGCGUUACACAGGCCCAAAUUCCCAUCCCUUAGCGGCCAGGAUGGCAGGGAAUGAUCUGCAGGCGGUACAAGGCGCUACUCAGGUUUUAGGGGGGAUUUAAUGUUUGCUUUUCACUACAGGCAUAGAGGGACCCCCCCACCGUGCCUGGAUCCUCCCUGCCCCCGAGAGGAGGAAACCUAGUGGUUUGGCUCAGAUAUACUGUGGCACUUCAGUGAGUGCUGCCGUGGCCACAUGGGGCAGGGUUCUGGAUUGAUAGAGGGCUCCCUCCUGCCCUCUUGCAAUGGUCCCCUCCAGAGGGGAGCUCUGGGACAGAGAGCCCUGGUGUCCUGCUCCACAUGGCCUCUCUCUUACUGUUCCUGUUGUUUGUAUUGCAGUGGUGCCUAGAAGCCCCUGUCAUGGGCCCAGGCCCCACUGGGCUGGGCACUGUGCAGACACAGCGGAGACACUCCCAGUCCUGAAGAUCGGGUGUGCAAUGGGCCGUGCCCCAGGCUGCAGGAGGGCUCAUGCUGGCUUUCGCCCCAGCACUGCCUGUGGCCACCUGGCUCGCUGGAGGGAGACAAGCACUAUGCAUCCAUGAGGACUCACUGCCACUGGCCUCGCGUCCGGCCUUGGGCACACAGGAGCCAGGAGAAUAGCCAUAGGCAUGGGAGGGCUCUGCAAUGAUUCCCUCGAAGGAAUUAGUUUAGAUUCAGGCUUUCCCCUCCCACUUGUGUCCCUGGGCUCCCUAACUCCUCCUUUAAGUGGGCACCCUGUGCCUGUGCUGCCAGCCCCUCCACGGUUGCCUCCAGCCAUGAUCUCUGGUUUGGGUGCUCAGGGGACGAGAGAUGCCCUUUUGGAUUGUUGUCCUUUCCCUGGGGGCUGGGAGCAUCGCCUUUGCUGGCCUUUCACCUUCUGCCAGUGCAAAGGCCAAGGAGUCUGAGGCUGACCCCAGUCUCUGAGAAUGCAGAACUGCUGCCCAGGUUUCUUAUUGAACCUCCUGGGCUACCAGACCCAGCAAACUGAUGUGCAGGACACUCCUUCCUCAUCUGUCACUCUAAGGCCAGGUCUCCAGCAUGGUAUCUCCUGCCUUGGCACUGGGAAGUUCCUGCUGGGAGAGGACUGAGCCGUGCAGGGGCUCUGGUCUCCCAGCUGUGGAAUCAGGGUAGAGCUCUGUGCCCAGGCAGGACUGGGGUCAUCACAAUACAGCUGGGAUGCAGAAGCACAUCGGUGUCGCGAGGAACAAGAUGCUUCUAAUAAACCUGGAAGGACUUUGUGCUGCACAGUAAUACCGGCCCUUUGCCAUUCUCCAGCACCUUCCAUUGGAGGAUCUCAAAGUCCUACACAAAAAGAUCACAUGCACCCAAAAAUACAACCCGACCCUGGUUACAGAUGGGAAUGAAUAUAUCACUGGUCCAAGAUACUUGCUACACCCAGUGUUGGGCAUUUAAAAAACAAAAACCAAAACAUUACAGCUCCAUUGAUACACAGAACAACUCCGAAAGGCUUGACAGAGACUUAAGAAAUUCAUUUCUCACAAACUACCUAGGGGACAAAACAGACACUUCCUGCCAUUAAAAAAGCUGGUAUUCUCAGCUUUCCAGGGGUAUAAAGCACUAAUUGCUAAUCAUCAAAGGCCAUUUUAUCAGCUCUUUUAAAAUCUCAUCACUCCGAUUACCACCUUGCUUCCCACUCCCCUUUCCGCACACUUGAAUUCCAAUGUGUUUUGGUAGCUGCCAUCUCAAGAACUACUUGAGACAGAAACUGAUGCUGCCUGGCCUCUGGAGUGGAAGCUUGGGAAUCUCAGAUUUCCAAGGGGAUAAAGCGUCAACCUCUAACUUGAAAUACCAGCUGCUAAAAUCACACUGGAAUGACCGUUACAAACGUGCUUUGUUGAUGGGACCAAUACAAAUGGUUUCAGGACCAAUAUGAUUUUUCUAAGCACUGAUCCUAUGCUGAAUUUGCAAAACGUCCAUCUGCCAAGAUAUUGCUGGAAGGCUCAGGCCUAGAUUCUGAUCUCAGUGACUACCAGGAUAAAUCUAGAGUAAAUCCAUUGCAGUGAAUGGAGUUAUUCCAAUUUUACACCAGUGGAAAUGAGACCAGACUCUGGCCCCCCACGGCUAAAUAAUGCUUGUAAAAGGAUACUGGAUUUAGCAUCAUUCCUAACACAUAAACAAGAGGUUUCCUGGAUUUAAUGUCUGUGUAAUGUGUAUGUGUGGGUGUGUGUCGGAUGUGUAUAGUGUGUACAUGCUGCUUCCUGGAGCAUCUGAGCACAGCUGGGAACAGAGUGAAUGUGGAGACUAGUUUGUGGUGGACACUUGCGACCAGGGAUUGGGGCUGGGAGGAAGGUCUGAGGACUGGGAUUUCCAAAGGGAAAUUUCAGAUGGGCACAUGCCCCCAGCGCCCAAACCCUCAGAUCUCAUUGGUUUUGACUUGGUUGCUGUCAGGAAUUGAGAUGGGGCGGCGAGUGCAGUGAACACGGGAGUUCUUUUUUUAAGGGAGCAGCGUGCGUCUCUGGGAGAGUCCCGAGCUGCUCCCACCUGGGGACUUGUGUGGGUAAUAAAUUGUGAGUAUUUUCCUGUGAA